ACGGAAGGCAGCAGUGGGGGAUAUUGCACAAUGGGGGAAACCCUGAUGCAGCGACGCCGCGUGAGUGAGGAAGUAUUUCGGUAUGUAAAGCUCUAUCAGCAGGAAAGAUAAUGACGGUACCUGACUAAGAAGCACCGGCUAAAUACGUGUCAGCAGCCGCGGUAAUAAGUAUGGUGCAGGCGUUAUCCGGAUUUACUGGGUGUAAAGGGAGCGUAGACGGCAUGGCAAGCCAGAUGUGAAAGGCAGGGGCUCAACUCCUGGACUGCAUUUGGAACUGUCAAGCUAGAGUAUCGGAGAGGUAAGUGGAAUUCCUAGUGUAGCGGUGAAAUGCGUAGAUAUUAGGAGGAACACCAGUGGCGAAGGCGGCUUGCUGGACGAUAACUGACGUUGAGGCUCGAAAGCGUGGGGAGCAAACAGGAUUAGAUACCCUGGUA
rnacentral:rRNA from 1 species